AGAGUUUGAUCCUGGCUCAGGAUGAACGCUAGCGGCAGGCCUAAUACAUGCAAGUCGAGGGGCAGCAUAGUGUAGCAAUACAUGGGUGGCGACCGGCAAACGGGUGCGGAACACGUACGCAAUCUACCCAUUACAGGCGAAUAGCUCGGGGAAACUCGGAUUAAUACGCCAUAAUACAUUUUUCUGGCAUCGGGAGAAUGUUAAAGAAGUUAAAUUUGGUAAUGGAUGAGCGUGCGUCUGAUUAGUUAGUUGGUAAGGUAACGGCUUACCAAGACAUCGAUCAGUAACUGGUGUGAGAGCACGACCAGUCACACGGGCACUGAGACACGGGCCCGACUCCUACGGGAGGCAGCAGUAAGGAAUAUUGGUCAAUGGACGAAAGUCUGAACCAGCCAUGCCGCGUGCAGGAAGAAGGUCCUCUGGAUUGUAAACUGCUUUUAUUUGGGACGAAAUGAUCUUUUUUAAGAUAGCUGACGGUACCAAAGGAAUAAGCACCGGCUAACUCCGUGCCAGCAGCCGCGGUAAUACGGAGGGUGCGAGCGUUAUCCGGAUUUACUGGGUUUAAAGGGUGCGCAGGCGGGUAUAAAAGUCAGUGGUGAAAGCCCUCAGCUUAACUGAGGAACUGCCGUUGAUACUAUAUAUCUUGAAUUUUUAGGAGGUAAACAGAAUAAGUCAUGUAGCGGUGAAAUGCUCAGAUAUGACUUAGAAUACCAAAAGCGAAGGCAGUUUACUACAUAAAUAUUGACGCUGAGGCACGAAAGUGUGGGUAGCAAACAGGAUUAGAUACCCUGGUAGUCCACGCCGUAAACGAUGGAUACUAGCUGUUCGGAGCAAUCUGAGUGGCUAAGCGAAAGUGAUAAGUAUCCCACCUGGGGAGUACGUUCGCAAGAAUGAAACUCAAAGGAAUUGACGGG
rnacentral:rRNA from 1 species